GAUGACGCUUGGCGGCGUGNCUAAUACAUGCAAGUCGAGCGAACAUAUNAGAAGCUUGCUUCUCUGAUGUUAGCGGCGGACGGGUGAGUAACACGUGGGUAACCUACCUAUAAGACUGGGAUAACUCCGGGAAACCGGGGCUAAUACCGGAUAAUAUUUUGAACCGCAUGGUUCAAUAGUGAAAGACGGUUUCGGCUGUCACUUAUAGAUGGACCCGCGCCGUAUUAGCUAGUUGGUAAGGUAACGGCUUACCAAGGCGACGAUACGUAGCCGACCUGAGAGGGUGAUCGGCCACACUGGAACUGAGACACGGUCCAGACUCCUACGGGAGGCAGCAGUAGGGAAUCUUCCGCAAUGGGCGAAAGCCUGACGGAGCAACGCCGCGUGAGUGAUGAAGGUCUUCGGAUCGUAAAACUCUGUUGUUAGGGAAGAACAAAUUUGUUAGUAACUGAACAAGUCUUGACGGUACCUAACCAGAAAGCCACGGCUAACUACGUGCCAGCAGCCGCGGUAAUACGUAGGUGGCAAGCGUUAUCCGGAAUUAUUGGGCGUAAAGCGCGCGUAGGCGGUUUCUUAAGUCUGAUGUGAAAGCCCACGGCUCAACCGUGGAGGGUCAUUGGAAACUGGGAAACUUGAGUGCAGAAGAGGAGAGUGGAAUUCCAUGUGUAGCGGUGAAAUGCGCAGAGAUAUGGAGGAACACCAGUGGCGNAAGGCGGCUCUCUGGUCUGUAACUGACGCUGAUGUGCNNAAGCGUGGGGAUCAAACAGGAUUAGAUACCCUGGUAGUCCACGCCGUAAACGAUGAGUGCUAAGUGUUAGGGGGUUUCCCCCCCUUAUGCUGCAGCUAACGCAUUAAGCCCUCCNCCUGGGGAGUACGACCCCAGGUUGAAACUCAAAGAAUUGACGGGGACCNCCNA
rnacentral:rRNA from 2 species